ACUCAAAUGAAUUGACGGGGACCCGCACAAGCAGCGGAGCGUGUGGUUUAAUUCGAUGCAACGCGCAGAACCUUACCUAGGCUUGACAUGGCAGUGGUACUGACCUGAAAGGGGAGGGACCCGCAAGGGAGCUGUCACAGAUGCUGCAUGGCUGUCGUCAGCUCGUGCCGUGAGGUGUUGGGUUAAGUCCCGCAACGAGCGCAACCCCCAUCGUCAGUUGCCCUAUCUGGCGAGACUGCCCGGUUCGGGAGGAAGGAGGGGAUGACGUCAAGUCAGCACGGCUCUUACGUCUAGGGCUACACACACGCUACAAUGGCCGGUACAACGGGCCGCGAGAGGGCGACCUGGAGCGAAUCCCAUCAAAGCCGGUCUCAGUUCGGAUCGCAGGCUGCAACUCGCCUGCGUGAAGGCGGAGUUGCUAGUAACCGCUGGUCAGCACACAGCGGUGAAUACGUUCCCGGGUCUUGUACACACCGCCCGU
rnacentral:rRNA from 1 species